GGUCCAUUAGCGCAGUGGUUAGAGCGAACGACUUAUAAUCGUUAGGUCUCAGGUUCAAACCCUGAAUGGACCACCA
rnacentral:tRNA from 1 species